AUGGUGCAAACAAGGAGACAUAUUAUGUAUCCUUUGUUUUAUCGGUUGUUGAAACUAGUAAUUGUGUUGCCUAUUGCUACUGCUACAGUUGAGAGGUGCUUUUCAGCAAUGAAAUUGGUCAAAACUGACUUGGCAGUCGCCUCAAUGAUGACAACUUGA
rnacentral:rRNA from 1 species